UCCAAUCAGAGUAGAAUAAAUGUAUAUUCAGGCAUGUAACAUCCCAGAUAUUUACCCAACACAUUUCUCUCUCAAGGAAAGUCUUAACGGAUAUGUUUCAUCAAAAGGAAGGAGAGCCAAAAGAAUAAGACAUCUAACAAAGAACAAAGAUGAAGGAACCUCAUAAGAUUAAGAUGAUCAAGAAUGAAGAGGGAUCCCAGGAUGACUGCUGUGUCCUAGGUGUAUAAGCAACCAAUGCUAUUGGAGCAAGUUCAAAAACAUACAGCCAAGAAUAAUGCCCGGCUUCUCUCCAAAGUGCACAAACAUCAUAAAAGUCAAUGGAAGCAGCACUUUCAUUGAUGAGACCCACGAUGACCAAGAAGUUUAAAACAACAAAACUUUGGACACUCCAAACUGUAACAAACAAGACAAGAUUUUGAUGGAAAACGCUUCCAAACUCGUUCGACCUGGAGAUGCUUUUCUAAUUAAAGGUUUAAUUGACAAGAAA